GUGCACACUUUGGCAGCACAUAUACUAAAAUUGGAAUGAUACAGAGAGGAUUAGCAUUGCCCCUUUGCAAAGAUGACAUGCAAAUUCAUGAAGCAUUUUAUAUAUGU
ensembl:snRNA U6 U6 spliceosomal RNA